rnacentral:lncRNA from 1 species
AGAGGCUGGGAAGCCAUCACUUACCUUGCACUGAGAAAGAAGACAAAGGCCAGUAUGCACAGCUUUCCUCCACUGCUGCUGCUGCUGUUCUGGGGUGUGGUGUCUCACAGCUUCCCAGCGACUCUAGAAACACAAGAGCAAGAUGUGGACUUAGUCCAAAAUACCUGGAAAAAUACUACAACCUGAAGAAUGAUGGGAGGCAAGUUGAAAAGCGGAGAAAUAGUGGCCCAGUGGUUGAAAAAUUGAAGCAAAUGCAGGAAUU